UACGAACUGUGCAAGCGUUAUUCGGAUUCACUGGGCUUAAAGGGUGCGUAGGCGGCCAUGUAAGUAGGGUGUGAAAUCCCCCGGCUUAACCGGGGAACUGCGCCCGAAACUGUGUGGCUGGAGUGAGAUAGGGGUGUGUGGAACUUCCGGUGGAGCGGUGAAAUGUGUUGAUAUCGGAAGGAACGCCGGUGGCGAAAGCGACACACUGGGUCUCAACUGACGCUGAGGCACGAAAGCCAGGGGAGCGAACGGG
rnacentral:rRNA from 1 species